GACGAACGCUGGCGGCGUGCUUAACACACGCAAGUCGAACGGAAAGGCCCUGCUUUUGUGGGGUGCUCGAGUGGCGAACGGGUGAGUAACACGUGAGUAACCUGCCCUUGACUUUGGGAUAACUUCAGGAAACUGGGGCUAAUACCGGAUAGGAGCUCCUGCUGCAUGGUGGGGGUUGGAAAGUUUCGGCGGUUGGGGAUGGACUCGCGGCUUAUCAGCUUGUUGGUGGGGUAGUGGCUUACCAAGGCUUUGACGGGUAGCCGGCCUGAGAGGGUGACCGGCCACAUUGGGACUGAGAUACGGCCCAGACUCCUACGGGAGGCAGCAGUGGGGAAUAUUGCACAAUGGGCGGAAGCCUGAUGCAGCAACGCCGCGUGCGGGAUGACGGCCUUCGGGUUGUAAACCGCUUUCGCCUGUGACGAAGCGUGAGUGACGGUAAUGGGUAAAGAGGCACCGGCUAACUACGUG
rnacentral:rRNA from 1 species